rnacentral:lncRNA from 1 species
GAGGAGCUGGUGGAAAGCCUCCUAAACCAGGUAAGGACUGUGAAAUCAUCCAAUAGACAUUUUAGUCAGUCGCCACAUCUGACCUAAUUCUGUAAUGGCCGUUUAAGAAGAGGUGAUGACGAAGAUGAUGAUGAUAACGAAGAUGAUGGUGAUGAUGAUGAUGAUGAUCUGCUGCUUUCCUUAUCAGGAUAUGGUGGUGCUGGUGGUCUUGUUCCAGGAGGAGGCUUAGGAGCUGGUGGAUAUGGAGCAGGUACACAAUAUACAAAUACAGAGUGAACUCUCACUGCAUUGAUGUUUCCUUUGUGUUGUGUGUAUAUGAGAGAAUUAUGUAUGCAUUCUAUCAUAUUGAUAUCCCCAACACUACUGAAAGUUUCCUUACAUCAUAUAACUAAUAUACUCUUUUCUUGCAAACAGGAGCUGGCGGGACCCCCACAGGCUAUGGGGGCGCUGGUGGAGGACUUGGAACAGGUAGAUUGGAACUUCAUUUUUUUCACAACAAUGUCAAACAAGAAUGUUUUUUUGCACACUAUAUUACAGAUAUGCAUUCAACAUGAUAUGUAGUAUUCAUUAUUGCUCUUUUGUCUUGUUGUACAUGAGAGCAGGGACCAGGUAUGAGCUAUGAAAACACAUGUUACAUUACCUCUACAGUGUUACUCAGUGCUCUGGUAAUUACUAAGGCAUAGAUCGACACCUCCACUAACUUUUAAUGUUGUUGACUAUUUAAAGGUGUUGAAAUUAGAUCAUUGUGGUGACGACACUGUAAUGAUAUUUGACCAAAGGUGGCAGACUCGUGCUUAGUCAUAGUUUACCCCUCCUUUACAGGGUACGGUGGAGCGGGCGGUUUGGUUCCAGGCGCAGGACUGGGAGCAGGUGAGAAGCCCAGGCGUCCGCCAGAACAAAUGUCUGUGAGCGGUGUGUGUGUGUGUGUGUGCGUGUCUGUGUCUGUGAGUGGUGUGUGUUGCGUUCGGGUUCCGAUGUCAGCGAUGGGAAUUGGCUUUCUGGAGA